AAUAGGCACCUUUGGUAAAGGCAAUCUCUCCAUUUUGUUGUUGCUCCCUUUUUUUCUUGCCAAUCUCAAGGAACUUUGGAUUAACUCCAUGAACGUUACAGACGAUGGACCCAGGGUAAUCCUGAGUGGCAGCAGAGAGUCUGAUUACCUGCAAUCAUACAGCUAAUCAGUUCAGACAGAGCAAGCGCAUGCAAUGGUUGCAACAAGUUCAUGAAAGCGGUAAAUAUUAUUACUACUUUGACUCUAUUUAAUAACAUGUAUCCUAAAACACCCUUUCAAUAAUAUGUUUAAUUUUACAAUGACACUUUUGAGAAUGCACUGAUCUUUUUUUGAGAUCAAGAAGAUUAAUUUCAUUUAACUAAAUUUCUUAAUAGGUGUGAAGUUAGUUAUUUUUACUAAUCAAGAUCGGAAGGAGUAUUUUCACAACUAAUCAUAAGAACAAAGCUUCAUUUCCCACUGCGGUGAUAUUUAUGAAUACAACUUGAGAAUGUAAAGCUCCCACCUCAAGAAAAAACUCAUGUUAUCUUUAGAUAAGGUGUUAGUUUUACCCACACAGAUGAAUACACCAAAAAACGUUAUGAAAGUUCUGUGAUGAUAUACGGAUUACACACCAACCAAAUGAACCAAGUAACAGCAUGAAUUGUAUAUUGCACACUCUUCAAUCAUUUUAUAUAUAUGGGAGUUAGGGGAUUACAUUGUUCAAUAACCUUGUAUGAAAUACAUA
rnacentral:lncRNA from 1 species